rnacentral:lncRNA from 9 species
GGCGGGGACACUGUUCCCGAGUCCGAGGCCCUGCGGGUGCAACGCCACGGCUGGGGGCGAGCUGGCACUCAGGCAAGCCCGGCACCUCUCCCUGUACCAGUUUCUUUUCAGUAUCCCCUUGUGACAUCUCUGAAAGUCACUCCGUUGGCCGACGCAUAAUUUAUGCCCUGAGUUAGCUCCUGGUGAGGACGGCCGGAGGCUUCGCUGCCCACCCCCACCGGCCACACACCCUCCCUGCAGGGAGUCUCUAUGCUCUGCCGCCUGUGUCCAGAACUCCUGGGGGGGUCUUUGGGACACCAGCGGGCCCUCCCCUGGGGAUCCUGGCUUGAGUCCUGAGACACAGAGUGCGAAGAGCUGUGUUCCACCUGUUUUCCAUCUCGGGAAGCGGACCCACCGGCUCUCCCCUUCCUUGCCGUCAUCAUCCGUGUCUGCUCCUCUCUCUUUCUUCUUAGUGUCACAGAGUUCUGGAAUUUCUCGGUAGGGGAAAAAGGCCACCAGAGAGGACUUUCUGAGAUCCCGCCAUUCUCCGCGUGAGAGUCCCUGCGAGCAGCCCCAGCCGGGAUGAGAGUGAACCACCCGGGCAGCAGAGGGUUCCCUGGGUCUCAACAGCCGCUCCAGGAAGACACCCAACAGGCGGAUGCGAUGGCCGCAGAUCAACCCGGAAACACCUGCAGCGUCAGGCUGCCCCUGGACCAGGAGCGGGAGCAGUCACACAGGUUUUUCUGGAGCCUGCCCCGCCCGCUGAAGCUGAGUCCGAGGCGCUGUGCCGCCUGGUGAGCGUCCCCACCGCGUGCACUCGUCCCCACCUCCGUCCUCUCCGCGAUGCUCCCAUCCCGUCUUUCCUGUGGGCCAUGCUCUCUGCUCCCAGGCCUUCCAGACGAUUCGGGAUGGCAGCCGUCUACUACACGGAGGUAGGUGCCAAGGGAGGCUCUCUCCCAGGUCCAGCUCCUGCCCACAGACUGGGCGCCCCACCUGCCUCAGCCCAACCACCUCACGCACCUUUGAUGCAACCCAGCUGGGAGGGUGCUGGCAUCAAGUGGCGGCCGCGGCCUGGGGAGGGGCUGGGUGCAGAGAACGGAACCCCUGGCCUUUCCCCCUCUGGCGCGCUCGCUCUCCCGAGAGCACAGCAGCUUUCUGAGUCAGACGAAGGGGAGCGUGGUGCUCCCACGGCAGCCGGCACACAGUAGGCGCUCAGCAGACACGUGUGGCCGUGUCCCAGCAGGCUCUGGCAAUGCACGUCUGGAUUUUUUCAAUUUUUUGGCCUCUGGGACAUCAUCUGCCACCAGCCUCGGUCUCUGCUGCCUGUGCUACUCAGAUGCGACAAUGUGUGAACUUGAAGACUGCCUGUCUGUGCAAUUAAUUAGUGCGAAAGUUAAGUAUCAGUCAUUA